rnacentral:tRNA from 1 species
GGAGGUGUCGCAUAGCGGCCAAUUGCACACGCUUGGAAAGCGUGAGCCUCACGGCUACGCAGGUUCGAAUCCUGUCCCCUCCGCCA